rnacentral:lncRNA from 1 species
GUACAGAAAUAUUAUGAAUGAUUUGAGCAGGAGGACUGUGUGUCCCAGACUAUAAAGAAAAGCAAGCUUGUUUUCUACCUGCUUCCUCUUUUUGCUUUCUCCUGCUCCCACCAGCCCUACUCUUUUUUCCGAAUUAAGACUCCACAGAACCUGCCUUUUAUUUCCCCUUUGCAAAGCUACUGUUACAUCAUUAUAAAAGGGACAUUCCCUCUUUUUCCAGAAAUAUUCCUAAGAAAAGAAAAACAGCCUGUUAUAUAAGAGUGUCUGAAAAAACUAGAACUUUCACUCAAGGUAUUCAUACAAACCAACAUUUCCUGACUGAAUGCAAAUAGGACACUUCUUUGAAAUGAGGAGCGACAAAUUUUUAACCUUUCUAGAAUUCAUGACAGAAUACUGUUUUUUUUUUUUUUUUAACGCUGUCUCCAUUGAAAGUCAGUUACUGAAUGGUAGGACACAAUUCUUAUGAAUUUUGUAGAAAGACAAAUAAUAUUCUCAUCUACAACUGUGUGAAGAAAAAUAGAAAAAUACUUGCCAUGUGUUAAAUCCUUACACUAUGGAGAAUACUAUGCAAACUGCUUUCAACUGCCUGCGUUCAUUUAAGAAUCACAACAACUAUGGAUGGCAGCAAAAUUCAGAAGGCUUAGACUACCACUGUCCUCCACAAGGUGCUCCAGCAGAUUGUCACCUUAUUCAACACAAGAGGUUGGUUGGAAUGAAACUGGCCUGGAGAAAUUAUUCACUGAAUUUUUAUCAGCAUUGGGAAGUCCUGGAGCCCUGCUUGUUGAAUGAGUUAGGGGUGGAAGGGCUCUCUCAGGCCAUGACAACUCCCUAAUGCUGUGAAGAGCUACUUCCAAGGAAUCAGUCUCUAUCUGGAAAAGAAAGAAGAGAGCCUCUGUACAUGGGAAGUUGGAGCAAGAAAUCAUGAGAUCCUUCUUUUUUUCAUCAAACUUGCAAGUAAGAUUAAUAGCUUAGGAACAGACUUGUGUCUUCAUGAAAUGAUUACUAUAGACACUCUUCAUUAUAUUCCCAUAUGUUUAGUUAUUUUAAAAGACUAUCUUUUCUGCCUGCAUAAUGAAAUGAUUGAAUCAAAUUUGUCACAAUACUUGUUGGUAAUGUCAAGCAACUGUAUGAUAAAGCAUCCAGUUCUUAGGGGCAUUAGCUCACCAUGGAUGAUAUUAUUAAUUUACCCAUGUACUUAAUUAUUGAUUCUACUACAUUUAUUGUAUUCAGUAUUUUUGCUUGUAUGAAAUGUUCACUUUUAACACUGUGCUAAUUACAUUAAAAAGUGUUCACUUUAUG